ensembl:lncRNA
AUGCUGAAUGAACACUUAUUUUAACUUAAUAUAAUACAUCAAUGAAAUCAAUUUGGCCUCAAGUAAAUAAUGAAACAUGUUCAAUUUGGUUUAAAUAAUGCAAAAACAAAGUGUUGGAGAAGAAAGUAAAAGUGCAAUAUGUGCUAUGUAAGAAAGCUAACGUUUCAGUUCCUUGCUCAGAACAUGAGAACAUAUGAAAGCUGGUGGUUCCUUUUAACAUGAGUCACGAGAUGUAUGUGGCAGGGUUUUCAGUCAAUCACAGAUGACAAAAAGAAAACCAACCCCGUCACGGACAUCGACGUCUAGCUCCCAGAUAAAUUAAACAAAUUCUUUGCUCCAUUGAGGACAAUACAGUGCUAUUGACACGGCCCGCUGUUGGCUCUCCCUCUCCGUGACCAGCGUGAGUAAAACAUUUAAACAUGUUAACCCUUGCAAGGAUGCUGGCCCAGACAGCAUCGCUAGCCGCGUCCUCAGAGCAUACAGACCAGCUGGCUGGUGUUUACGGACAUAUUCAAUCAAUCCCUAUCCCAGUUUGCUGUCCCCACAUGCUUCAAGAUGGCCACCAUUGUUCCUGUUCCCAAGAAAGCUAAGGUAACUGAACUAAAUGACUAUCACCCCAUUGCACUCACAUCUGUCAUCAUGAAGUGCUUUGAGAGACUAGUCAAGGAUCAUAUCACCUCCACCCUACCUGAUACCCUAGACCCACUCCAAUUUGCUUACUGCCCAAUAAGGUCGCCUGACAAUGCAAUCGCCAUCUCUCUGCACACUGCCCUAUCCAAUCUGGACAAGAGGAAUACCUUUGUAAGAAUGCUGUUCAUUGACUACAGCUGAGGGGGCUGAGGAAAUUUGGCUUGUCACCUAAAACACUCAAACUUUUACAGAUGCACAAUCGAGAGCAUCCUGUGAGGCUGUAUCACUGCAUGGUAUGGCAACUGCACCUCUCUCAACCCGCAAAAUUUGAUUAGAUAUAACUUUCUGCCACGGAUGCAAGUCGUAUAUACAUGUAGUCAUUACCAUGCAUGAGAUCCCCACAUUGUAGCCUGUAUAUUCACUGAUCAUGUACUCAACCUUGGCAAAUAAUGGUGCAAUUCAGGUAUGAAUGUCUGAGAAUUUUCCAUUCAUUUCCAAUUCCAGGUGUAUCAAAUUCCAAUCUUUGAAUGAUGCUGUGCCUGCAUGUAUUACAAUUAUACACUUCAACAGUGUUUACCAAUCUUGGUCCUGGGACAUCAAUGGUUACACAUUGUAACUAUGCAAUAGACUAGAAACAUGAUUUAACUAGUUAAAGGCUGAUUUAUAAUUCAUAUAUACAGAAGUAGAAAAAAAAAACAGUACACCACCUCCUAUGCAUCAUGUAAAUACUCAAACCGGUUCAUCUCAAUAUCUAAUGCCCUUCAUCUGCAUUGAUCUGAUAAACACAGGACAGCUGUAGUAUUUCAUCAAAUGAGAGACUUAAUUUCAACCAGUAGAGAAUGUGAAAUGCUUAAUUUUCCAAGUGUUAUAAAUACAAGUUCAAUCUGUACUUCAAUGCACAUCUGUUGUGGAUUAUGAAAACAGAGGAAGAAACGUGGCGAGAGAGGUGUAAAAGACAAAGGGAAAGAGGUAAGGACAUUGGAGCAGGGAAGGCAGCAUAUGAUUAAUGAAUCACAGUGCUACCCUAAUAUUCUUUCAUUUCAUCAAAAUGACAUAAGUGUCUCUAGUGGUGUCUCCUAACCAGCCUUGGACUCCCAGUCGGCCCGAAGGUUAUCUUAAGAGCGGGUGAGGUGGCUGGAAUCCUCUUUCACAGCUAAACAUAAC